rnacentral:rRNA from 1 species
CAGCAGCCACGGGAAUACGUAGGUGGCAAGCGUUGUCCGGAAUUAUUGGGCGCAAAGGGCUCGCAGGCGGUUUCUUAAGUCUGAUGUGAAAGCCCCCGGCUCAACCGGGGAGGGUCAUUGGAAACUGGGAAACUUGAGUGCAGAAGAGGAGAGUGGAAUUCCACGUGUAGCGGUGAAAUGCGUAGAGAUGUGGAGGAACACCAGUGGCGAAGGCGACUCUCUGGUCUAUAACUGACGCUGAGGAGCGAAAGCGUGGGGAGCGAACAGGAUUAGAGACCCGCGUAGUCCCUGUCUCUUAUAC